GUGUCAGCAGCCGCGGUAAAACGUAGGAGGCUAGCGUUAUCCGGAUUUAUUGGGCGUAAAGCGUGUGCAGGCGGUUUAGCAAGUUGGAUGUGAAAGCUCCCGGCUUAACUGGGAGAGGUCGUUCAAAACUGCUAGACUAGAGGAUGGGAGAGGGAGGUGGAAUUCCGGGUGUAGUGGUGAAAUGCGUAGAUAUCCGGAGGAACACCAGUGGCGAAAGCGGCCUCCUAGACCAUUUCUGACGCUAAGACACGAAAGCUAGGGUAGCAAACGGGAUUAGAGACCCCGGUAGUCCUAGCUGUAAACGAUGUAGACUUGGCGUUGGCGGAGUUAAAUCUGCCAGUGCCGAAGCUAACGCGUGAAGUCUACCGCCUGGGGACUACGACCGCAAGGUUAAAACUCAAAUGAAUUGACGGGG
rnacentral:rRNA from 1 species